CGGAAUAAAAUUCUUAACUUUAAUUUGUAUAAUAUAGGUCAAUCACUCUAGUCUCUAAUGUUAAAAAUAACUAAGUAAAAUAGAUUCUUCUGAACAUACAAUUUGUUAUGUUAUGCAUUAGUAAGACAAAAAUGCAGUGUAUUAGUAAAAUACAACUUCCUCGUAAAUUAUAUACCUAAUACUUUCAAAUGCUAAGUUUUGUAUCUGAAUAGUUAAUAAUAUAGUUCCUAAGACAAGUCUAUUUUGUGCCUUGAAUCUAUUACAUCCAAUUAAAGAUUAAUAUUUCCAAUUAAGAUUAUUUUUUUACCUUCGUUAUCAUCGUUUGCAGGUGUUGGUGUGACUGUAUGAGUAAUAACAGAACGUACUGGUGGUUCUUGAACUACUGUUACAUCAACAUCUAAAAUUUAAAUCUAGAUAAAAAUAAAAUUCAUUUUUAUUGUAUAAUCUAGUUAAACACUGCUAUACCAUCCUCAUCUUCAAAAUCUUGGUAAAAUUCUCUCCAUCUUUUUCUCCACGGUAUAAAUCCAGGCCUUUGUAAUAAAUCUUCCCCAACUGCAGGUUCUAGAGCUACUGGUGGUUCUCUAAAUACUGGAGCAUUUACUGUUGGCUCUGGAAGAACUGGAGCAUAUAUAGGUCAAAUAUCAUAAUUAUUUUCCGAGUUUUAUACAUAGAAAAUGAGAAAUAAAUAAAUUGUAUUAUAUUUUUAUUUCCUGCAUCAUAUUUUGAAAAACAACAACAAUUAUCAUAACUUGAUUGCAAUAGCUUAAAUACUUUUGAAAGUUAGUUUCAAGAUGAAACUUGUGACUAUCAUACUUAAUUUAAUUUUAAAAAUACUGUUUUACCUAUAGGGUCCUCAACAGCAGGUUGUAUAACUACUGGCGGUUCUCUAAAUACUGGACCGUCUAUUGUUGGCUCUGGGGGAAAUGGAGCGUCUAUUGUUGGCUCUGGAGGAACUGGAGCAUCUAUUGGAUUUACCAUAAAAUGUCCAUAAUGGUGGAUGAACUCCUAAGUAGCCAAGUAAAGAUGCGUGGAAUGAUUCUACAAAGUUAUUUGUCCGGUGAUCUGAUCCGUGAACAGAAAAUCUUUCUGGACCUACCACACCCAUCCAAUACCGAUCAAAAUAAUUGAAGACUGGUCGUAAUUCUUCAAAUACUUGUUGCUGUAUUGCAAUCGCCCUUAUCAUCAUCAGCCCAUCGGAUAUCGUAAAUCCUCUAACAUUGGGAUAUGCAUUUCCAUUUGCAGGUAGAUGUGGAAGAGCUAGUAACUUAACAAAAAUAUUAUAUAAUAGUGAAAAGAACAACCCACUUGAUGCCAUUCAGGGAAUACUGUUCUUAUGGCGUUACGAAGACCAGUUUCAAAAUCGGUAAUAACUUGAACUGGUACUUCAUGAGAAUAGGGCAGUUCAAGACUUAAAAUGUACCGCAUAACACAUACAUAUGCUGCUUGUGUAUGACGAGUUAAACAAGCAUAAGCCACUGGGAAACUCUAAACAUUAUUAUAAAUUUUCCAAAUAUGUUAAUUUGAAUAAGUAGUUGACGUAAAUCAGUAGGAUUAUUGGGAAGACAUUGAAAAGUACCAUCUACUGC